UACGAAGGGGGCUAGCGUUGCUCGGAAUCACUGGGCGUAAAGGGCGCGUAGGCGGCCGUUCAAGUCGGGGGUGAAAGCCUGUGGCUCAACCACAGAAUUGCCUUCGAUACUGUACGGCUCGAGACCGGAAGAGGUGAGUGGAACUGCGAGUGUAGAGGUGAAAUUCGUAGAUAUUCGCAAGAACACCAGGGGCGAAGGCGGCUCACUGGUCCGGUUCUGACGCUGAGGCGCGAAAGCGUGGGGAGCAAACAGG
rnacentral:rRNA from 1 species